GCCUGUAUAACCAUAUCUCUUUCAAUAUGUUAUUUUCUAUAUAAGUUCAAAAUGUUGCUGAAUCAUGGGAACAUAGAUCCCUUUUAGUUCAUUUAGCCUUGUUCUACAGUUUAUGUUUGUGCACAUGCUUUUUAAUAUAAUUUGAGGCACUUGCAGGUCUUGAACUCAGGACCUAAUAUUACUAGAUACACUAGCAUGUCUGCUUGGACAGACAAGCUGGCCAUCUCAUUCCCAUACAGGCAGUGUGCUACUCAUUGCGGUCGUCACGGGGUUCCUCCCCCGUGAUGACGCAAUGUAUUUCAACACUAUCCGACGGUAUCUCCCUUUUUCCCCUCCCUAUCAUCUAUGCGUCUCAUAAUCCGAAGACGUAUGCUGUCCAAAGAACAACACGUGACGCGGAAAUUAUUAGCCGCGUGUCACGUGACAUUUUUUAAUCUAAGAUUUUAUGUACUUGCAAGCUUCGUUUUUAAGUAUUAAUGUUGUCUAUCACCUCUUAUCAUAUAUGAGAAUAGCCC